rnacentral:rRNA from 1 species
UACGUAGGGACCAAGCGUUGUUCGGAUUUACUGGGCGUAAAGCGCGUGUAGGCUGUUCGGAAAGUCGGGUGUGAAAGCCCUGGGCUCAACCUAGGAAGUGCACUCGAAACUCCCGAACUGGAGUCCCGGAGAGGAAGGCGGAAUUCUCGGUGUAGAGGUGAAAUUCGUAGAUAUCGAGAGGAACAUCGGUGGCGAAGGCGGCCUUCUGGACGGUGACUGACGCUGAGACGCGAAAGCGUGGGGAGCAAACAGG